UACAGGGGGUGCAAACGUUGCUCGGAAUCAUUGGGCGUAAAGCGCGCGUAGGCGGUUGCUUAAGUCGGAUGUGAAAGCCCUCGGCUUAACUGAGGAAGUGCAUCCGAAACUGAGCAGCUAGAGUACGAAAGAGGGUCGCGGAAUUCCCGGUGUAGAGGUGAAAUUCGUAGAUAUCGGGAGGAACACCGGUGGCGAAGGCGGCGACCUGGGUCGAGACUGACGCUGAGGCGCGAAAGCGUGGGGAGCAAACAGG
rnacentral:rRNA from 1 species